GACGAACGCUGGCGGCGUGCUUAACACAUGCAAGUCGAACGGAAAGGCCCUGCUUUUGUGGGGUGCUCGAGUGGCGAACGGGUGAGUAACACGUGAGUAACCUGCCCUUGACUUUGGGAUAACUUCAGGAAACUGGGGCUAAUACCGGAUAGGAGCUCCUGCUGCAUGGUGGGGGUUGGAAAGUUUCGGCGGUUGGGGAUGGACUCGCGGCUUAUCAGCUUGUUGGUGGGGUAGUGGCUUACCAAGGCUUUGGGGGGUCGCCGGCCUGGGGGGGUGCCCGGCCAAUGGGGGGCGGAGACGGCGCCCACCCCCACGGGGGGGGGCAGGGGGGGGAAUUGUGCAAAGGGGGCGGGCGCGUGGCGGCGAAACCGCGGGGGGGGGGAGGGGGCUUUGGGGGUGAAAACCUUUUGCGCGGGAGAAGAAGGGUGGGGGAGGGAAAUGGGUAAGAAAGCCCGGGUAAAUAAGGG
rnacentral:rRNA from 1 species